rnacentral:pre_miRNA from 1 species
UUUGUACUCCCUCCGUCUGAAAUUACUUGUCGCACAAAUGAAUAAAAAUGGAUGUAUCUAAAAUUAAAAUAUGUCUAGAUACAUUCAUUUUUCCGACAAGUAUUUCCGGACGGAGGAAGUAUUUA